rnacentral:rRNA from 1 species
GACGAACGCUGGCGGCGUGCUUAACACAUGCAAGUCGAACGGUAAGGCCCUUCGGGUACGACGAGUGGCGAACGGGUGAGUAACACGUGGGUGAUCUGCCCUGUACUUCGGGAUAAGCCUGGGAAACUGGGUCUAAUACCGGAUAGGACCAUGGACUUCACGGUUUGUGGUGGAAAGCUUUUGCGGUGUGGGAUGGGCCCGCGGCCUAUCAGCUUGUUGGUGGGGUAAUGGCCUACCAAGGCGACGACGGGUAGCCGGCCUGAGAGGGUGUCCGGCCACACUGGGACUGAGAUACGGCCCAGACUCCUACGGGAGGCAGCAGUGGGGAAUAUUGCACAAUGGGCGCAAGCCUGAUGCAGCGACGCCGCGUGAGGGAUGACGGCCUUGGUGUAACCUACUUCUAAUAGGACGAAGACGCAAGUGACGGUACCUAUAGAAG